UGACUUUUUGAAAAGCCAUGAGCCAGCUCUAAUUCAGCUGAGUUAGAUGAGAAAGGGAGGUAGCUGCAGAGGCCUCCACUGUUAACUGGUGGGCUCCUUGCUUGCAGAGGUUGGAGAGGGCAAAGGAGAGAGAGUGUGGUUUGAUUGCAGUGUAAUUUUCUUCCCUCUGGGAGCGUUUCAAGCGAAUUCUACCAAUGUCAGGGAAGCAAUGACUCACCAAACAGUGGGGUGUUGAUUUCGGGAAAGAGAGGGGAAGUUCCUGCUUUGGUGCUCACGGACGGCUCUGCACUAAGAUCUUUGUCUGAGUAGGCCGGAGAUGGUGAAGGCCGCGCAGAAGGACGUAGUGGAAUCACAGGAAGUUGGCCAUCGCACGGUCCUGUGGGCCUCCACGCGGCGCUCAGCUCUCUCUCCGCGGGGACCAUCACCCUGUCCCAACCUCUGUUCAAGCUCCCACCCUCUGAACAGCUCACUGUCUCCUUCCUGCGCAGAAAGUUGAGGCCAUCAGACCGCAAGUUCUUUAAGCUCAGCCGAGGCUAAACGUCUCUGAAGGCCUGUCUGCACCCGGGGCUCCGUUUCCUCUCCGCCCCACCGGCUCUCUCACGCCUCCAGCCGCCCAACUCGCUGAGAUCACUGUGACCUCCGCGCCGUCUAAUCCAAAGGCCGCUCCUUCAUUCCCCGGCUCCGGGCAGGCUUUCCCACCGCUGAUCCCUGCCUUCUUCAUGGUGACUCCAAGUUGCCGCGCCUUCCUGGAUGUCUCCCUCCAUCUCUGGCUGAGUCUUUCUUCUCUUUGCAAUGUCUUUCCCCCUCUAACCUUCCAUCACAGUUUCUCCAGGCUUUAGGGGAGACUUGCCUGCUGGUCCAGUGGUCAGGACCCUGCACUUCCUCGGCAGGGGGUACAGGUGUGUACCAAGGUCCCACAUGCCACACAGUGUGGCUACAAAGAAAGAAAUAAAGAAAAUUUCCUUAAGGGUUA